UACAGAGGUCCUAAGCGUUGUUCGGAUUCACUGGGCGUAAAGCGUGCGUAGGCGGUCGGGUAAGUCUGAUGUGAAAUCUCGGAGCUUAACUGCGAAACUGCAUUGGAAACUAUCUGACUAGAGGAAUGGAGGGGAGACUGGAAUAUUUGGUGUAGCAGUGAAAUGCGUAGAUAUCAAGUGGAACACCAGUGGCGAAGGCGAGUCUCUGGACAUUUCCUGACGCUGAGGCACGAAAGCGAGGGGAGCAAACGGG
rnacentral:rRNA from 1 species